GGCGAGGUCGGGGAGGAUCCUCCACCCGGAGCCUGAUGGUGGUUUUUCUGGGGGGAUUGAUCCUCUCCUUCGCCU
rnacentral:tRNA from 1 species